UUUUAGGAAUUUUUCGUUUUUUGUGACAUGUUGUUGGAUGUGUUUCAUAGCCAAGAACGUCUGGAGGUCUGAGGCAUGUUGUUUUAUUUGAUCUAAAUGGCUUUGGUAUUCUGUAAUCUCCCUUUCUUUCUCUUGUAUGGAUGAUAUUACGCAGCUUAUUUUCUUGUUUUUAGUUUCCUCAGCGGCAUCCAACUCUUUCAUCAA
rnacentral:lncRNA from 1 species